rnacentral:rRNA from 1 species
AAAAACAUUGCCUUUAGAACCCUUAUUAAAGGUUAAUCCUGCCCAGUGAAUUUUUUAACGGCCGCGGUACCCUAACCGUGCAAAGGUAGCAUAAUCAUUUGCCUUUUAAUUGUAGGCUAGUAUGAACGGAUAAACGAAAUUCUAACUGUAUCAUUUUUAUAAUAUAAAAAUUAGACUUCAGGUGAAGAUACCUGAAUUAAAUUGAAAGACAAGAAGACCCUAUAGAGUUUUAGUGAUAAUUUAACCAAUAACUAAUUUCACUUUGGUUGGGGCGACCUAGGAUUAACAAAAACAUCCUUUUAUAUAAAGAAUACAUUUUUCUCUAAUUUAAAGACCCUGAUUCCUCAGAUUUUUAAAAUAAACUACCUUAGGGAUAACAGGCUUAUCUUCCUAAAGAGUCCAAAUUGACAGGAAGGUCUGGCACCUCGAUGUUGGCUUAGAGUAACCUAUUAAUGCAAAAGUUAAAUUCAGGUCGGUUUGUUCAACCGUUAAACCUCU